UGUUAGCGAGAGUCAAAAGUGCCGGGCGAACUGUGUUCGACAGUGUUUAUUCAAAUGAACAAAACGAAAAGAUAUACUUCAAAUCUAAAAAUACACAAAAGUUUUAGAUAACGUUACAACUAUACCUAACCUCAACUUACAAUCAGUCAACCGAGCAAACUCUUGGCUUGACUUCCUCGCUAACCGGGUACAACGUUUCGGAUCCUAUUUUGAAAUUACAAUUUAGUACUGAGGAGAGAAUAAAUCUAACCAACCAAUUACCGUAAUUGCACGAAAUCGCCUUGUAGCGACCCAAUCAAUGCGGAUCAUUGUUGAGCCGAAAAUUUCGCGCGUAGGGUUGCGUUCGAUGUUAAAAAUUGAGGUCUAAAAUCUCAACGUGCAUAGGUCAAAUCAGCUGAUUGAACCGAUUGCACAUAUACAGAUUCAUUAGUGUGCAUAUUAUACAAAAAAGAAAAUCCUCCACCUGUACAACAUUUUAACGACUUUUCUCCACGGCCAUUUUGCUACUAUUACUGCAGCUGGUUAGAUGUGCCCAUCGAAAAAUGGAUCGAGACGGACUGGCCUAUGGCCUUUUUAAGAAAUGCGGCAGGAGAAGGACACCAAAGCUCUCGCCACGACUCCUUCCGGAAUGUACGAAAAUUCAAGCCUUACUUUCGGAUUCUUCGCAGACGAAACGUGCACCGUGACGUAAAAAAUAACGUUAUCAAUCAAUGGUGAUUACAGGACAUCCUGACAUCCUUCAAUAAUUUCAAUAUCGAAAUAAAAAUAUAAUUCAAAGCUGAAAUUCUAAAUUCA